UUUGCAAUCAAGCUGUUUGCUGCUUGGCAACUGAAAUGGGAAGUUACCAGAGAGCAAGACUAGUAUUGCCCAGAUAAGGUGAGGCAGCUCAAUAGGGCACACUUGUGAUAAACACGGUACAGAUAACAGGUCCAAGAUGGCAGACUGCAAAUCUAUUCUUUGGUCAAUAUUUUGGUUCUUAGUGUUAAUUUUCCUUGCCUGGCCGCUAAGUAUCUUCUUAGGAGGAUUGUACGGAUUCCUCUCUCCUCUUACUACAUGCGUGGGACUUGGUCAGGUCACUGAUAUUCUUCUUAAGGGGGCCAAUCUUGGCAGAACCUGUGCUGAGUACAUACGGGAAGGAAAGUCUCCCUGCUAAAGAAGAUGGAAUGAACAAUGGUAUUUCAAGGCAUCAAAAUAUAUCAUGGCCCUACAAUUUUCUCUCAUUUGUUUCUCAUGGAUCCUAGACAUUAAUUGACUGGACUGUUUCCACACUUCAGUGUAAUCAUUGUAACAUUUGUUUAUAUGCUUAACAAGUGCCAGCCUUUUGAAAUGUUAUUGAACAUAUUAAAAGAACUCUAACUGUAUUUCAACCCAAUUUUUCUAUAUUACAAGUUUUAGAUUAAUUUUUGAAAAGGUAAAAAUAAACUUUGCACAAA